CUUAAACCAGCGGGAUCUGAUCAAAACCCAUUGGAAAUACACCCCAAUACAGCUGCUUAAACCAGCGGGAUCUGAUCAAAACCCAUUGGAAAUACACCCCAAUACAGCUGCUUAAACCAGCGGGAUCUGAUCAAAACCCAUUGGAAAUACACCCCAAUACAGCUGCUUUAACCAGACGCCGUUCAAUACGAACGAGGAACCAGAAAUGACCGACCACGCACUCUGAAUCUGCAGACGGGUUAAACUGUGUUCCUGAGGCGUCGCUGCAAUGAGAUGCUAUUGGAAGAGAUUUCUGAUGACUUUGGGCUCCCUGUCUCUCUUCCUCCUCCUCCUCCUCCUUGUCAGUCUGAGGACUGAGGAAGACAGCUUUGCCGCUGAGGAGAGCAGGAGAUGGGCCAGAGAGGUGGCCAUGCAACAGAUUUACUCCGAGAGGAACAGGAAGUCCAUUUUUCAGCAGUCGUCCA